rnacentral:rRNA from 1 species
AGAACGAACGCUGGCGGCAGGCCUAAUACAUGCAAGUCGAACGCACUCUUCGGAGUGAGUGGCAGACGGGUGAGUAACGCGUGGGAACCUUCCCAAUGGUACGGAAUAACUCCGGGAAACCGGUGCUAAUACCGUAUAAGCCCCUCGGGGGAAAGAUUUAUCGCCAUUGGAUGGGCCCGCGUCGGAUUAGCUAGUUGGUAAGGUAAUGGCUUACCAAGGCUACGAUCCGUAGCUGGUCUGAGAGGAUGAUCAGCCACACUGGGACUGAGACACGGCCCAGACUCCUACGGGAGGCAGCAGUAGGGAAUCUUGGACAAUGGGCGAAAGCCUGAUCCAGCCAUGCCGCGUGAGUGAAGAAGGCCUUAGGGUUGUAAAGCUCUUUUGGCGGGGACGAUAAUGACGGUACCCGCAGAUAAGCCCGGCUAACUUCGUGCCACAGCCGC